rnacentral:misc_RNA from 1 species
AACCAUAGAAACCUGCGGAGUACCUGCGGAGGGAUCAUUAUAGUAUAUGGAAUCUCCAUUCUAUAAACCCACUCUGCGUAUCUUGUAACUGUUGCUUCCAUGGGACUUGGUUCCGCCACACCGGCCUCACGGCUGGUGAGCGCCCAUGGAAGGAGAAACAAAACUCUUCUUUGAAAUGUAGUCAGUCUGAACAAGUUUUUAUAAACGUUAAAACUUUUAACAAUGGAUCUCAGAUCGGAA